GACGUAGGGCGCGAGCGUUGUCCGGAUUUAUUGGGCGUAAAGAGCGCGUAGGCGGCGCGGUAAGCGUGCGGUGAAAGCCCGGGGCUCAACCCCGGGUCGGCCGUGCGGACUGCCGGGCUGGAGCACUGUAGAGGCAGGUGGAAUUCCGGGUGUAGCGGUGGAAUGCGUAGAGAUCCGGAAGAACACCGGUGGCGAAGGCGGCCUGCUGGGCAGUAGCUGACGCUGAGGAGCGAAAGUGUGGGGAGCGAACAGG
rnacentral:rRNA from 1 species